rnacentral:rRNA from 1 species
UACGGGGGGAGCAAGCGUUGUUCGGAUUUACUGGGCGUAAAGGGCGCGUAGGCGGCGCAACAAGUCACUUGUGAAAUCUCCGGGCUUAACCCGGAGCGGUCAAGUGAUACUGUCGUGCUAGAGUGCGGAAGGGGCUACUGGAAUUCUCGGUGUAGCGGUGAAAUGCGUAGAUAUCGAGAGGAACACCUGCGGCGAAGGCGGGUAGCUGGGCCGACACUGACGCUGGAGGUGCGAAAGCGUGGGGAGCAAACAGG